rnacentral:rRNA from 1 species
GACGAACGCUGGCGGCGUGCUUAACACAUGCAAGUCGAACGGAAAGGCCUCUUUCGGGGGGUACUCGAGUGGCGAACGGGUGAGUAACACGUGAGUAACCUGCCCUUGACUUUGGGAUAACUUCAGGAAACUGGGGCUAAUACCGGAUAGGAGCUCCUGCUGCAUGGUGGGGGUUGGAAAGUUUCGGCGGUUGGGGAUGGACUCGCGGCUUAUCAGCUUGUUGGUGGGGUAGUGGCUUACCAAGGCUUUGACGGUAGCCGGCCUGAGAGGGUGACCGGCCACAUUGGGACUGAGAUACGGCCCAGACUCCUACGGGAGGCAGCAGUGGGGAAUAUUGCACAAGGGGUGGAAGCCUGAUGCAGCAACGCCGUGUGCGGGAUGACGGACUUCGGGUUGUAAACCGCUUUCGCUCAUGACGAAGCUUUGUGUGACGGUAGUGGGUAAAGAAGCACCGGCUAACUACGUG